rnacentral:rRNA from 1 species
UGCGCAGGUGGGGGUGUAAGUCAGUGGUGAAAUGUUGCCGCUUAACGGUAAAAUUGCCAUUGAUACUGCAUCUCUUGAGUAUGGUUGAGGUAGGCGGAAUGUGUUGUGUAGCGGUGAAAUGCAUAGAUAUGACACAGAACACCGAUUGCGAAGGCAGCUUACUAAGCCAUUACUGACGCUGAGGCACGAAAGCGUGGGUAGCGAACAGGAUUAGAUACCCUGGUAGUCC